AGGAAUAUUGGUCAAUGGGCGAGAGCCUGAACCAGCCAAGUCGCGUGAGGGAAGAAUGGUCUAUGGCCUGUAAACCUCUUUUGCCAGGGAAGAAUAAAAGGUACGUGUACCUUCUUGCCAGUACCUGACGAAUAAGCAUCGGCUAACUCCGUGCCAGCAGCCGCGGUAAUACGGGGGAUGCGAGCGUUAUCCGGAUUUAUUGGGUUUAAAGGGCGCGUAGGCGGGACGCCAAGUCAGCGGUAAAAGACUGCAGCUAAACUGUAGCACGCCGUUGAAACUGGCGACCUGGAGACGAGACGAGGGAGGCGGAACAAGUGAAGUAGCGGUGAAAUGCUUAGAUAUCACUUGGAACCCCGAUAGCGAAGGCAGCUUCCCAGGCUCGAUCUGACGCUGAUGCGCGAGAGCGUGGGUAGCGAACAGGAUUAGAUACCCUGGUAGUCCACGCCGUAAACGAUGCUCACUGGAUCUUGGCGAUACACCGCCAGGGUUCAAGCGAAAGUAUUAAGUGAGCCACCUGGGGAGUACGUCGGCAACGAUGAAACUCAAAGGAAUUGACGGGGGCCCGCACAAGCGGAGGAACAUGUGGUUUAAUUCGAUGAUACGCGAGGAACCUUACCCGGGUUUAAAUGUAUUUUGCAUGAGGUGGAAACACUUCUUCCCUUCGGGGCUAGAUACAAGGUGCUGCAUGGUUGUCGUCAGCUCGUGCCGUGAGGUGUCGGGUUAAGUCCCAUAACGAGCGCAACCCCUAUCGCCAGUUGCCAUCGGUUCAAGCCGGGCACUCUGUCGAGACUGCCACCGUAAGGUGCGAGGAAGGCGGGGAUGACGUCAAAUCAGCACGGCCCUUACACCCGGGGCGACACACGUGUUACAAUGGCCGGUACAGAGGGCAGCCACGGGGUGACCCGGAGCGAAUCUCUAAAGCCGGUCGUAGUUCGGACUGGAGUCUGCAACCCGACUCCACGAAGUUGGAUUCGCUAGUAAUCGCGCAUCAGCCAUGGCGCGGUGAAUACGUUCCCG
rnacentral:rRNA from 1 species